UACAGAGGGUGCGAGCGUUAUUCGGAAUUACUGGGCGUAAAGCGCGCGUAGGCGGCUUUGCAAGUCGGGUGUGAAAUCCCCAGGCUUAACCUGGGAACUGCAUUCGAGACUGCAUUGCUAGAGUAUGGGAGAGGGAAGUGGAAUUUCAGGUGUAGCGGUGAAAUGCGUAGAUAUCUGAAGGAACAUCAGUGGCGAAAGCGACUUCCUGGACCAAUACUGACGCUCAUGUGCGAAAGCGUGGGGAGCAAACAGG
rnacentral:rRNA from 1 species